AAGUCCUAGCGAACAGAUAAGGAGCUUGCUCCUUUGAAGUUAGCGGCGGACGGGUGAGUAACACGUGGGUAACCUACCUAUAAGACUGGGAUAACUUCGGGAAACCGGAGCUAAUACCGGAUAACAUUUAGAACCGCAUGGUUCUAAAGUGAAAGAUGGUUUUGCUAUCACUUAUAGAUGGACCCGCGCCGUAUUAGCUAGUUGGUAAGGUAACGGCUUACCAAGGCGACGAUACGUAGCCGACCUGAGAGGGUGAUCGGCCACACUGGAACUGAGACACGGUCCAGACUCCUACGGGAGGCAGCAGUAGGGAAUCUUCCGCAAUGGGCGAAAGCCUGACGGAGCAACGCCGCGUGAGUGAUGAAGGGUUUCGGCUCGUAAAACUCUGUUAUUAGGGAAGAACAAAUGUGUAAGUAACUGUGCACAUCUUGACGGUACCUAAUCAGAAAGCCACGGCUAACUACGUGCCAGCAGCCGCGGUAAUACGUAGGUGGCAAGCGUUAUCCGGAAUUAUUGGGCGUAAAGCGCGCGUAGGCGGUUUCUUAAGUCUGAUGUGAAAGCCCACGGCUCAACCCGUGGAGGGUCAUUGGAAACUGGGAAACUUGAGUGCAGAAGAGGAAAGUGGAAUUCCAUGUGUAGCGGUGAAAUGCGCAGAGAUAUGGAGGAACACCAGUGGCGAAGGCGACUUUCUGGUCUGUAACUGACGCUGAUGUGCGAAAGCGUGCGGAUCAAACAGGAUUAGAUACCCUGGUAGUCCACGCCGUAAACGAUGAGUGCUAAGUGUUAGGGGGUUUCCGCCCCUUAGUGCUGCAGCUAACGCAUUAAGCACUCCGCCUGGGGAGUACGACCGCAAGGUUGAAACUCAAAGGAAUUGACGGGGACCCGCACAAGCGGUGGAGCAUGUGGUUUAAUUCGAAGCAACGCGAAGAACCUUACCAAAUCUUGACAUCCUUUGAAAACUCUAGAGAUAGAGCCUUCCCCUUCGGGGGACAAAGUGACAGGUGGUGCAUGGUUGUCGUCAGCUCGUGUCGUGAGAUGUUGGGUUAAGUCCCGCAACGAGCGCAACCCUUAAGCUUAGUUGCCAUCAUUAAGUUGGGCACUCUAGGUUGACUGCCGGUGACAAACCGGAGGAAGGUGGGGAUGACGUCAAAUCAUCAUGCCCCUUAUGAUUUGGGCUACACACGUGCUACAAUGGACAAUACAAAGGGCAGCUAAACCGCGAGGUCAUGCAAAUCCCAUAAAGUUGUUCUCAGUUCGGAUUGUAGUCUGCAACUCGACUACAUGAAGCUGGAAUCGCUAGUAAUCGUAGAUCAGCAUGCUACGGUGAAUACGUUCCCGGGUCUUGUACACACCGCCCGUCACACCACGAGAGUUUGUAACACCCGAAGCCGGUGGAGUAACCAUGUUAAGA
rnacentral:rRNA from 1 species